rnacentral:snRNA from 1 species
AUAUUUUUCAUGUACUGUAACUAGCAUAAUAAAAAAGUCUGUUCUUAUCAGCCUAAUAUCUGAUACGGGUUCUUAUGGAACCACGAUAUUAAACCUAUUUUUAGAAGUUGGCGGAGUGCUUGAAGCCUGCUUCACCUCCGCCGCAGGUCGGCCCGGUAUUGCACUACCUCCGGGAUCGGUCCCCGCUCA